UUUCAAUAGAGCCCCGAAACCCUCAUGGCUUCCACGAAUUUUGUUCAUCCUGUAAGUGAUGGAAACAUCAAACUUCUUUUGACUUCCAAGUUCUCAGAUGACUUUUCUCCAGGACAGUCAGCUUCUAUUGUCGCCAACUUCCAUGGCAACUGUGACUUCCCUGAUUUACAUUUUUCCACAGAAACACUAUAAGGAGUGUCUGGGUGCCAAGAAAAAGUUGCUCAUCUUAUAGCUUUAUGAAUUGAGUCCUAGACACACAUAAACUUUUUUUUUUUGCUCACCAUUUUAUAGUCUUACGAACAAAAAUUAAGCUUUGUUUUGAAUUUCACGACCACGCCAUGGAUGGCUAACUCUGUAACAUCUCUUUGCCGUUUACAUUAUUUCCCUGGACCUCAAAAUGCUGACUGUGGUGAAGAUAACAUAGGUAGGCCUCACAGCUGACCUUAAUAAAGAAGACUCUUAGUCCUUCUGCUACCGUUGCUGGGCGUCACAAGCAGGUUACAGAACAUGCUGAACUGGAGAAAGAACAGGCCUAACAGAAGAGAAAGCUUAAAAGCAACCACAAAGUAAAAGAGAAGGAAGAUGGCAGCUAAAGAGAGAAAGAAAAGCAAAGCUGGACAAACAGAAGAGAAAUGGGAAGAAGAGUGAGGGAGACAGCAGGUGGGAGAUCAGACACGGCUGAGAACAGGAAGAAUAGAACAGGCACACACGGCGGUACAAAGAUGGAGACGAAGGAAAAUGGAGGAAACAGAGUAUCUUGUACCCAUGUGAAGGUCAUGUGGCUGGCUGGCAUUAACUUAGCAGAUAUUCUAAAGCUCUACCACAAGAACAAGGGCACACACACACACACACUUGCUAUAGCAGUUUGAAUAUGCAUGGCCCAGGGAGUGGCACUGUUAGGAGGCGUGUGGCCUUGCUGGAGGAAGUGUGUCACUGUGGAGAUGGACUUUGAGACCCUCCUCCCAGCUGCCUGGAAGACAGUCUUCUGUUGUUUGUCUUUGGAACAAGAAGUAGAACUCCCAGCUCCUCCAGAGCCAUGCUUGCCUUGAUGAUGCCAAGCUUCUCACCAUGAUGACCGUGAACUGAAACUCUGAACCUGUAAGCCACACAUACAUGCACACAUACAUGCACACAUACAUACACACACAGAACUGCUAAAUUAUGUUGCAAAAUACUCCAAAUUCUAGCUUGUCUAACUGCUCAGAGCCCAGGGGAUCUGGAA
rnacentral:lncRNA from 1 species